GAUGAACGCUGGCGGCGUGCUUAACACAUGCAAGUCGAACGGUGAAGGCGGAGCUUGCUCUGCUGGAUCAGUGGCGAACGGGUGGGUAACACGUGAGCAAUCUGCCCCUGACUCUGGGAUAAGCGCUGGAAACGGCGUCUAAUACUGGAUACGAGCUGCGAAGGCAUCUUCAGCAGCUGGAAAGAAUUUCGGUCAGGGAUGAGCUCGCGGCCUAUCAGCUUGUUGGUGAGGUAAUGGCUCACCAAGGCGUCGACGGGUAGCCGGCCUGAGAGGGUGACCGGCCACACUGGGACUGAGACACGGCCCAGACUCCUACGGGAGGCAGCAGUGGGGAAUAUUGCACAAUGGGCGAAAGCCUGAUGCAGCAACGCCGCGUGAGGGACGACGGCCUUCGGGUUGUAAACCUCUUUUAGCAGGGAAGAAGCGAAAGUGACGGUACCUGCAGAAAAAGCGCCGGCUAACUACGUG
rnacentral:rRNA from 1 species